rnacentral:rRNA from 1 species
CGCGUAUCCAACCUUCCCGCAACUGGGGAAUAACCUUGCGAAAGUAAGACUAAUACCCCAUGGUCUCCACGGAUGGCAUCUGAAAUGGAGUAAAGGUUUCGGCCGGUUGCGGAUGGGGAUGCGUCCGAUUAGCUUGACGGCGGGGUAACGGCCCACCGUGGCAUCGAUCGGUAGGGGUUCUGAGAGGAAGGUCCCCCACAUUGGAACUGAGACACGGUCCAA